CGGGAACUCAAAGGAGACUGCCAGUGAUAAACUGGAGGAAGGUGGGGAUGACGUCAAGUCAUCAUGGCCCUUACGACCAGGGCUACACACGUGCUACAAUGGCGCAUACAAAGAGAAGCGACCUCGCGAGAGCAAGCGGACCUCAUAAAGUGCGUCGUAGUCCGGAUUGGAGUCUGCAACUCGACUCCAUGAAGUCGGAAUCGC
rnacentral:rRNA from 1 species